CAAAUGGAUAGGAUCCAGUGGCAUUCUCCAUUACCCCAACCCUAGCAGAGAACUCAGCCCCCUCAAUAAACUUUUACGGAAUAAAGGUACUUUUGCUUCCGUCUCUCUCUCUGUUUGGGACAAAGAAAUAGGAGUGGAAUAGGGGCACCACCUUGCAGCGAUGGAACAGGUGCUUUUGGUUCUUCAAAUUAAUCUCAACUCACUCAUGUUGCAAAUCAAUCCUCUCCUCUAAUGUCAAUAAAAAAACCUUCCUAAGAGCAGGUAACCGAAGUUUGAUGCAAGACAAACUCUUUCAUGGAGUCUGAAACCAGUGGAAGCUCGUCCAUGUCGCAGAUCUUGGAUCCCAGUUCACCAUAGUUCCUGCAUGCGUCAAACAACCCAGGGCUCGUUCUGGUCUCAUGCCUGCUCACCGGAGAAAAUUAUCCGGUAUGGCAUCAAGCGAUGAGAAUGGCACUUCGUGCAAAGAACAAGCUCUGUUUCUUUGACGGAUUGUUGCCCCGACCACCCAUCGCUUCACCGGAAGAAAAUGCCUGAUCCAAAUGCAAUGUGAUGGUGACAUCUUGGAUUUCAAUUUCCUCUCUAAAGAACUAUAUGGAAGCGUUGCCUUCGUCGAAUUUGCAUCAGAAAUCUGGUCCGAGCUCCAAGAACGGUUUUCUCAAAGGAACGUUCCUCACAUACAUCAACUGAAGAAUGAUCUGGCCUUACUUCAACAAGGAGAAUUAGGCAUUUCUGUAUAUUUCACCAAACUGAAAACGCUCUGGGAUGAGCUGGCCAACUUAACCGACUUGCCCGAAUAUUCCUGCGGUGGCGCAGCAAGACUCUUUGCCAUUGAAUGCGAAAAGGAACGUUUACACCAGUUCUUGAUGGGACUCAAUGAGUCCUAUAAUGUCAUUAGAUCAAGUAUACUCGGAUGAGAACCACUCCCAAUGUUAAAUAAAGCCUAUGCCCUUGUUCUCCAAGAAGAAUGACACCAGACAAUCUCGGCGAUGCAAGGACCAGCACCGGAAGCUGCAGCCAUGAACGCUUCAUCCAAGCCCCCAUCUCGGUCCUCAACAACUUGUUGUUCCAAAUAUUAUUGCGUGGACAUACAAGAGAUCGGUGCUACCAACUAGUGGGAUAUCCACCUGGAUGGGAUAAAUCCCAAUUAAAUCAACGGGGCGAUAAUCAGCGAUCUAGCUCCUGUGCAACUUCCGAAGCCACCGAAGCAUCAACCAGUAGCACUCCUUCACUUCCCACUCUGACAGUCCAAUAGAUCAACCAGUUUCUAUCCCUCUUGAGCAAAGAAUCUGAUGCCAUUUCUGCCAAUACCGCUGGUAAGACUGCAACCAAUGUUGAGUGGAUACUAGAUAGUGGUGCCACAAACCAUAUGAUUUCAUCCCCAUCAUGCUUUAUUGAUUAUAUCACAUUCGAUAAACCCAAGAUUGUUCGACUGCCCAAUGGAGACUCUGUUCCAGCCAUAUCAGAAGGGUCUGUAUCCCUGGAAUCUUUGAUCAUUACAAAUGUGCUUUACAUACCUCAAUUGACAUGUAAUUUGCUAUCUGUCAGUAGACUAACACAACAACUCAAUUGUGUUAUUUCCUUCCUUUCUUCCAUCUGUGUUCUCUAGGACUUAGCUUCCAAGAAAGUGAUUGGGGUGGGGCAUCGGCAUGAAGGCCUCUACCAGUUCACCUUCGCCUCUUCUCAGUCACUUGCUCACACUGCCACCACAACCCCAACUUUAGCCAUCUGGCAUUACCGCUUAGGACACGCUUCUCGUCAAUGCCUCUCUUCGAUACUUGGUGUUCCCCUCAAUGCUUCAAACUACUGUUGUGAUGCUUGCCACCAAGCAAAACAAACUUGAAUCCCUUUUCCUAUAAGACAAACAAAAUCCUCUCAACCUUUUCAACUAGUGCAUUGUGAUAUUUGGGGGGGUGGGGGGUAUAAAACUCCAUCACACACUAGAGCACACUACUUCCUCACAUUGGUUAAUGAUUUUACCAAGUGUACUUGGGUUUACUUCGGAAUAAAUCAGAAGCAGUUGUUUUCUAGCUCUUUUUUUGUGCUAUGGUUCCCCGCCAAUUUGGGUAUGCAAUUCAAGUUGUAUGCUCAGAUAAUGCAUCUGAGUUUUAUGCUUGCCCUCUUUAAAAUUACUUCGCUGCACAGGGCAUUGAACAUCAGUGUAGUUGUGUAAACACGCCCCAGCAGAACGGUGUGGCUGAGAGAAAACAUUGGCAUUUGUUGGAAGUGUCCAGGGCAAUCCAAUUUCAUGCUCACAUGCCUAUCUCAUUUUGGGGUGAGUGCCUACAAACAGCAGUUUACAUUAUCAACCGACUUAUGACCAGGGCAACCCACACCUCUUUUAUCUAGAAAAUCACCCUAUGAAAUGUUAUUUCACACCCCACCAUCUUAUGACCACAUGAAGGUGUUAGGUUGCAUCUGUUAAAUGUUAUUUCACACCCAAACCACGUGACAAAUUUGCUAGAAGAGCCAUUAGAUGUGUUUUUUUGGGCUACCCUUAUGACCAUAAAGGGUAUCGGCUUUAUAACCUUGAAACCAACCAAUUAUUUACAAGCCAAGAUGUCACCUUCUACGAGUCUCAAUUCCCUUACUCAAAUCAGCAAUGUAAUGCUGACCAACCUCCACCAACACCAAGACUCUUUCCCCCUAUAAACCCAACAUUUGAUGACUUCACUACACCACCAACUUCCCCUGAAUUUCAUCCACCAGCACAAGAUCCAACUACAGUUGCAUCCAUUCCACCAAUGCCUCACAACACCUCUACACCCAUGCCUACUAAAUGCGUUGUUGAUGAGCUAAGCGCAGCCAGGCCUAUUUGGCUGACACAAAAGAACACUUAAAACCCCCUCUCACCUCCAAGAUUUUGUUUGUGAUCUCCCACCUUCCCUAGCCCCCCAAUCCAACUCAGCUAGUACCUCAUAUUUAGAAUCAGACCCCACCACCUUUACUCAAGCCAAUGCUGAUCCGCGAUGGCGGAAGGCUAUGGCUGAUGAGAUUUCUGCUCUUGAACAUAACAAUACUUGGACUCUUGUUGAUUUACCACCUGGAAAACGAGCCAUUGGAUCCAAGUGGGUGUACAAAAGUAAAUACAAAGCCGAUGGUUCAGUUGAAUGGUUCAAAGCUCAUUUGGUAGCCAAAGGAUACACCCAAGUUGAAGGUUUGGACUAUCAUGAUACCUUUGUGCCAGUUGCAAAAUUAUCAAUUGUUCGAUGUCUAUUUGUUGUAGCUGCUAUUAAGAAAUGAGAACUUCAUCAAUUCGAUGUUAAUAAUGCAUUCUUACAUAGAUCUCCAUGAGUAAGUGUAUAUGGCCAUUCCUCAAGGCUUUGCCAAAGAUGGUGAUAAUAAAGUUUGCAAACUCCAGAAAUCUCUUUAUGGGCUCAAACAAUCUCAUACUGAUUACUCCCUCUUUACAUCCACAAAUGGUGACUCCUUUGUCACAGCCCUAGCUUAUGUCAAUGAUGUUCUACUUGCCGGCAUGCCUCCGGUUUGUGGUUGUUUUUCUCUGUAGGAGGCCUUCAUGCCUCCGGUUUGUGGUGAUUGGUAGGAAGCUCUCUAUUCGAUGGUAUGAAGAGAGCAGGUUCGGUGAAAAGUGUUCACUUGAGUACAAGUUGGUUCUGCAGAGUGCAGUGUAAGUGUUUGGUUUAAUGUCUGAGUGAUUUCAGCCCUUGUAUUUGGUGUGUGAAUAGUUUUGCAGUGUGCAGUAUAGGUGUUUGAUUUAAUGACUGAGUGAUUUCAGCUCUUGUAUUUGGUGUGUGAGUGGU